AGUGAACGCUGGCGGUAGGCCUAACACAUGCAAGUCGAACGGCAGCACAGUAAGAGCUUGCUCUUACGGGUGGCGAGUGGCGGACGGGGGAGGAAUACAUCGGAAUCUACUUUUUCGUGGGGGAUAACGUAGGGAAACUUACGCUAAUACCGCAUACGACCUCCGGGUGAAAGCAGGGGAUCUUCUGACCUUGCGCGAUUGAAUGAGCCGAUGUCGGAUUAGCUAGUUGGCGGGGUAAAGGCCUACCAAGGCGACGAUCGGUAGCUGGUCUGAGAGGAUGAUCAGCCAGACUGGAACUGAGAAACGGCCCAGACUCUUACAGGAGGCAGCAGUGGGGAAUAUUGGACAAUGGGCGCAAGCCUGAUCCAGGCAUACCGCGUGGGUGAAGAAGGCCUUCGGGUUCGAAAGCCCUUUUGUUGGGAAAGAAAAGCAGCAGGUUAAUACCCCGCUGUUCUGACGGUACCCAAAGAAUAAGCACCGGCUAACUUCGUG
rnacentral:rRNA from 1 species